rnacentral:rRNA from 1 species
AUUGAACGCUGGCGGCAUGCCUUACACAUGCAAGUCGAACGGCAGCACGGGAGCAAUCCUGGUGGCGAGUGGCGAACGGGUGAGUAAUAUAUCGGAACGUGCCCAGUCGUGGGGAUAACGUAGCGAAAGCUACGCUAAUACCGCAUACGAUCUAUGGAUGAAAGCGGGGGAUCGCAAGACCUCGCGCGAUUGGAGCGGCCGAUAUCAGAUUAGGUAGUUGGUGAGGUAAAGGCUCGCCAAGCCGACGAUCUGUAGCUGGUCUGAGAGGACGACCAGCCACACUGGGACUGAGACACGGCCCAGACUCCUACGGAGGCAGCAGUGGGGAAUUUUUGGGACAAUGGGCGCAAGCCUGAUCCAGCAAUGCCGCGUGCAGGAUGAAGGCCUUCGGUUGUAAC